rnacentral:lncRNA from 1 species
CAGCCGUGUCGACCUGUCUCCUGCUGCAGCAGCUCCCGUGCUAGACUGCUAGCGCUGCCACGGGGCAGAGGCAGGUGGGGAGGGGCUGACGGCCAGCCGGAAACGAAAGGGAAACAGCGGCGCGCCAACACAAGGAGUCAGGGAGACAGCUCGAGAUCCAGCUGCCGCCGCCGCCCCACUGGGCUACCUGCACGUGUGC